rnacentral:rRNA from 1 species
CAGUCGCCGCGGUAAAACGUAGGUGGCAAGCGUUGUCCGGAAUUAUUGGGCGUAAAGGGCUCGCAGGCGGUUUCUUAAGUCUGAUGUGAAAGCCCCCGGCUCAACCGGGGAGGGUCAUUGGAAACUGGGAAACUUGAGUGCAGAAGAGGAGAGUGGAAUUCCACGUGUAGCGGUGAAAUGCGUAGAGAUGUGGAGGAACACCAGCGGCGAAGGCGACUCUCUGGUCUGUAACUGACGCUGAGGAGCGAAAGCGUGGGGAGCGAACAGGAUUAGAGACCCGCGUAGUCCCUGUCUCUUAUAC